AUUGAACGCUGGCGGCAUGCUUUACACAUGCAAGUCGAACGGUAACAGGUUAAGCUGACGAGUGGCGAACGGGUGAGUAAUGCAUCGGAACGUGCCCGAUCGUGGGGGAUAACGCAGCGAAAGCUGCGCUAAUACCGCAUACGAUCUGAGGAUGAAAGCGGGGGACCGUAAGGCCUCGCGCGAUCGGAGCGGCCGAUGUCAGAUUAGGGAGUUGGUGGGGUACAGGCUCACCAAGCCAACGAUCUGUAGCUGGUCUGAGAGGACGACCAGCGACACUGGGACUGAGAAACGGCCCAGACUCCUACGGGGGGCAGCAGUGGGGAAUUUUGGGCAAUGGGCGAGAGCCUGAUCCAGCAAUGCCGCGUGCAGGAAGAAGGCCUUCUGGUUGUAAACUGCUUUUGUACGGAGCGAAAAGGCCCUCUCUAAUACAGUGGGCUCAUGACGGUACCGUAAGAAUAAGCACCGGCUAACUACGUGCCAGCCGCCGCGGUAA
rnacentral:rRNA from 1 species